rnacentral:tRNA from 1 species
GGAGAGAUGGCCGAGUGGCUGAAGGCACCGGUUUGCUAAACCGGCGUAGGUGUCAAAACCUACCGAGAGUUCGAAUCUCUCUCUCUCCG